rnacentral:rRNA from 1 species
CAGCAGCCGCGGGAAUACGAAGGGGGCUAGCGUUGUUCGGAUUUACUGGGCGUAAGGGCGCGUAGGCGGGCGAAUAAGUCAGGGGUGAAAUCCCAAGGCUCAACCUUGGAACUGCCUUUGAUACUGUUUGUCUUGAGUUCGAGAGAGGUAAGUGGAACUGCGAGUGUGGAGGUGAAAUUCGUAGAUAUUCGCAAGAACACCAGUGGCGAAGGCGGCUUACUGGCUCGAAACUGACGCUGAGGCGCGAAAGCGUGGGGAGCAAACAGGAUUAGAUACCCCCGUAGUCCCUGUCUCUUAUACC